GCGUAUACAAUUUACCUUUUACAGGAGGAUAGCCCAGAGAAAUUUGGAUUAAUACUCCAUGGUAUUAUAGAAUCGCAUGGUUUUAUAAUUAAAGUUUCGGCGGUAAAAGAUGAGUAUGCGUCCUAUUAGCUGGUUGGUAAGGUAACGGCUUACCAAGGCGACGAUAGGUAGGGGUCCUGAGAGGGAGAUCCCCCACACUGGUACGUGAGACACGGACCGACGACUCCUACGGGAGGGCAGCAGUGAGGAAGUAUUGGUUCGAAUAGGAGGGACGAACUACUGAACCAACGCCACUGCCGC
rnacentral:rRNA from 1 species